rnacentral:rRNA from 1 species
AGGACAAACGCUGGCGGGGUGCAUGAGACAUGCAAGUCGAACGGGGUGCCAUCGGGCUUGCUCGAUGGUUACCUAGUGGCGGACGGCUGAGUAACGCGUAGGUGACCUACCCGGAAGUGGGGAAUAACUGCCCGAAAGGGUGGCUAAUACCGCAUGUGGUCGGCGAUUCGAUUCGCCGUCCAAAGGAGUAAUCCGCUUCCGGCGGGGCCUGCGUCCGAUUAGCUAGUUGGUAGGGGUAACGCUCACCAAGGCGACGA